rnacentral:misc_RNA from 1 species
CAGGGUGUGCACGUACGCAUGCACCCCGCUGAGUGUUCACUCGCAGCUUAUCGUCAUCGCGCGCUCCCAUCGUCCAAAGACAGGUGCACCACACAAUGGAUGGUUCAUGAGACUUCCGCGUCCCACACACGUCCCCCUCUCCUCCGACGAGACGCAUUUCUUUGGCACCGUCGCUGCUGCCUGUCCACUAGGGUUUGUGUGCGCUGGUGUUUGUUCUCUCCCGUGGGAGAGGAUCGAUUCGGAUACUUUGCAGAGGUAGCAUCCCCACCACAGCAGCCACCGCUAUAUUCCCGUGUACCUCUCCUCCGCCACCCCCACCACCACCCGUCCUCGUCUCCCCUGAGUCGAAGAUGCCAACAGAUCGCUCUCUAUGGGUGGAGGACAAGUAUGCACUGCGAUGUCGCGGGUGUGGCAAGAAGUUCACGGUCUUUCGCCGUCGCCACCACUGCCGCAGGUGUGGUCAGGUAUUCUGCUACGAGUGCCUCAACCCUCUACCAACAGCAGCCUCCACACCACAAAACAUCGUCUUCAGCGUCUACCAGUGGUUUUCGCCGUCGCCGGCUACGCCGCUUAGCACGCCGACAUCAGCCCAAGCGCGGAAGACUACUGAGAAAACUGAAGUUGUCGGCAGUAGCCGCGACGGGGCUGCUGCUGCGGCGGGCGCUACCGCCGCCGCAGCGGAGCUUUCUAUGCGUCUGUGCUGUCGCUGCGCUGCCACCAUUGCAGAGAACGCUGCGCGCGAAGCCUCGGUGUCGCAUGACGAGUUUGAACCCUCUUCGCUUCCAGUCCACAGCACCGCCCCAUUGGGGCCGAUGAUGCCGUCGCCCCUUAUGCGGAGUGGGUCACUACCGUGCCCGCCGCUAUCGCAGCUGAAUACGCCAAUGCGACUCAGCGGGAGGGGUCUUCCUGAAGGGGCGCCAUCGCCCGCCCCACGGCGUACCCCGCCAUCCUUCGAAGCGGCGCGUCAGUCGGAAGCCGAAGGCCCCCCUUACAUGGUGGCCCCCGAGUUGCUGGAAGGCACAGCAAGGCAUGCGGAGACAGCAGAGGAGCGCGAGGUCACGUACUCCAUCGGCCGCGUUCGGCGUCCACCGCCGUCGGUCAUGACGCAGUGGUGGAAAGCUCAUCAAGAGGCUCUGACCAACAAGGAAGCGCGCACCUUCCCGGUGCAGCGGACAGGCCCGUGCGCAUCUACGUUGGAGAGUGCCGGAGCACUUGUGCGGACCCUGAGCGGCCACGCCGACUUUCACGCGCGCUUCUUCCUGGAAGAAGAUGUGACGCAGUCACCAUCGGACCCCAAUGGUGGCGUGAUGGGGAGCGCAGCGGUCGUCCCUGUUGCUGCCGCUCCGGCGCCGCCGCGCGGAUUCCUGGACGACUUCGGCGCUGCAUGCACGACCCACCUCGAGGCGCGUAUUCAGCACAUGCUUCAAUCUUAUUUCCCUAACCUUGGCGGACCGCGACUGUGUUGCCACCUCGCUGAUGUUGCCUGGCACAUCGUGUGCCACACUGUUGUCGCCCUCGACGCCAAUAUUUUGGACCACUUGUCCAGCUUCUUCAUCCUGGACCCCGCGCAGCCGGCACAGUGUAUCGUGUACCCGGGCCUGGUAAACCGUCGACGUCUGCCUUCGAAGCGAGUCAUGAGCCCGUGCGACCAUCCGCGCGUGCUGCUGCUCGCGGGGCACCUCUCCUACCCAGUGCAGCCGGCCGAAGACCUCGUUGAAUAUGUGCGUUCUUACAGCGGCUACCUGGACAAGUUGUUCCAGCGGCUGGUGAUGUGGCACCCCGACGUGAUUGUUGUCGAGGGCGGCAUGCACCAUUACCUGCGCGCGCGCAUCGAGGAGGAGGGCCAGAUGCGCCUCGUGCUGGACGUUGGUCGUGACUUUCUCGUCCAGCUAUCAUGGUGCUUGCGUGCUGACAUCAUCGCUGACCUUCAGUACGUUGGCGUUGGCGACUUGGCCACCACAGCGCCGCUGGGUCACUGCACCCGCUUCGAGGUGCUCGAGUUGGCAGAGGAAGUGCACUGUUGCGGCUUCCGCGGCUUCGACGCGCUGUCGUUCCACACCCUCGUCCUCCGCGGCGGUUGUCCGAGCGGGGGCGUCGUUGCGCACGACAGCAGCGACGGCGAGCAGCAGUGGGAAACAAUGGAGAAGGUGGUAAGGGAGGCAGUUGUCGUUGCCUAUCAUCUGGCUCUGCAGGCGCACGGCGCCGCUGCACUUGUACGCAAAGGCCUGCCUGUUUCCGUGAGUGGUGCAGCGCCGACCGCAGAGGAAGCCGCCGCCGCCGCCAUCACAAUGAAUCUCGGAUGCCACUUCCCGUCGUCGGUACAGUCCGCGUGCCGCGACGCCGCGAGUCCCGCUGCGCUGUCUGCCCUGAAGGACAACAUCGUGGUGAACAUUGUGCACAUGGAUGAGCUAUUCGAGGGGGGAUCCGGCGGCGGUGGCGGAGGUGCCGCCGUGAGCACACUGGCCAAGUCGCGGAGCACCGAGCUGUCCCUCGAGCGCGGCGCCUCUCGUGGCUCGCUCACGCUUUUCCAAGGUGGCUCACACCUCGACUUACCUGCCAGCGGCGCUGCAUCAGCGUCACCCAGCGCUUCGCUGCUAAGCCCGCCUCUCGGACGCGCUGAGGCGCCAGCGACGAAUGCCUACGCGGUGGUGCAGCAGAAAUCCGCCUUGACCUUCUACGGUUCCGGAGACGAGAGCCUCUUUCACUUUCUGGUGAACCGCUGCGCCGGCAUGGAGUCGCAGGUGCUCUACUUGCACGGCGCGCAUCGAGUGAAGGUGAUCACGUCGACCAGUGCACUUCUCCCCUCUGCAGCAGCCAUACUCACUGAGAGCGGUCUCGCGGGCGUCUUGGGUGCUGCGCAGAUGCUGGCGUUUCACAAGGUUGCAUCGCGGCAGAGCGCUGCGAGGGCGCUGGCCGCGGCGGAGCCGCUGGACGCUCAUGCAUUAGCCGCCUUUGUUGCGCACCUGAAAGGAUACUUUUCUCUUCGAAUCCGCAUGGCGGACGAGGAUGCAGGGGUAGCGGCGGCGGAUGCGGUGGUCGUGGCUGCCGCCCCGGUCGACGCUGUGGUGGAGGUCUGCGAGCCGCAUCUCCUCAACCUCUCCACCGCCGCCUUCCUGGAGUGGGUGGUAUACGGCUGGAUACCCGCGCUCUCGAGGCAAUUUGCGCAGCCGAGUGUGCAGUUGCACUUCCAGUUCCAUUCCCUAGGGAUGGCUGCGCAGCGGCAGCAACCCGGUGCUACCAAUGUCUCCGCCUACGCUAAUACCGUGACAUUCCUGGUAGAGGCAGUGCCUCUGUUUCGCAUCGAGUACCCGCGAACCGUGAUGCCGCGCGCCGCUCCCGCACCACAGGCAGAGGGUUCUUCUGAGGAGGAUGCGAUGAGCAUCGUCGAUUGUCUCUACGCCGGAGACGACGCCGAGGAAAUGGAGGGUCUUCUCGCCGAGCUGCAGCAGGUGACCCGCGCCUCCUUGGAUCGGAUGGAGCAGGUGGAGAACGCCAAGGCAGGUGUGCCGGCUGCAGCGUCCCCGGUAAACACUACACACGUUCCAGAAGACGCGGAAGGAAAGGCAGCCGCCGCCGCCGGGCCGUCUUCGAUGCCCACUCUGGAGCGCUCCACGAGGGACUUGCACCAGCUGUCGGAAGACAUACAGCACGCGCUCUCAGUCCUUCAAGAUGCACGCCAGCGUGGGCAUCCGGAUGUGGUGCUUCUUCUUGCCAAUAUGCGCAGUCACCUGCUCCCCGCGCUGUUGGCCGCGUAUCGCGGCUGGCACGUGGCGCAGCGGAGGGCCACCACGAAGAGUGCCGCCACUACCCCAGCAGACGCUGCCGCGGCUACCGCGCCUGAAUACCCUUCUUGCCUUCGUCAGCUGGACGGAUGCCUGUAUCACAAGGAGCGUGCGCAGUGGAUUCGCCUGGCGGAGCCAUCGAGCAUCCUCGCCGCAGCCCUGCUUCACCUCUAUCGGCCCCUUCCACCCAGCACGCCUUGCACACCAUUGAUCACAAAGGGUUCAGCUGCCGGCAGGGAGUUUGAACUGAAGAAGCCUGUCGGCAGCGAAGCAGCAGCGGCGGCAUCGGCCACACCCCAUAUAGCCUUUGCUGUGGAAUGCACACACACUGCAUCGUCGCCGGACAUGAGCCCGGCCACGCGAUCGGGACAGCCGCCACUGCUGUCGAUGGUAAGCCAGCUGUCACCAGCAGAGGCGCUCGCGGUGCUUCGCCAUAGCGGCAGAGCAGAUGCGGCAUCGCCCACGUCGCUGAAGUGCACGCUCUCUGGGUAUCAGUCGGUGGUGCACCUCGGCGUCGGCGGACCUGCUGGGCUCGCAGGUGGGGCGGUGGCGACGCUCAGCGGUGCCGCGAGUGUGGCCAGCAUGAUCGGUGGUGGCACUGGCAACGCGGAGCCCACCAUCACCGUGGACGUGCUCUUCCCCCUCAGCUUUGCAGCCCUGCACGUGCUCUACACGGACGGCGCUCCCUUUGACAUCUGUGCAGCGCUGGUGCGGUGUCGGCCCUUCAGCACCGACGGCGGCAAGUCGCAUUCGAGAUUCUUUGUGACGCAGGACGGACGCUUUCUCAUCAAGUCCGUGAAACCGAUGGAGCUGCGCCACUUCCGAGAGUGGGCACCCCGCUACUUUGCAAGGAUGGAAGAGCACUACACGUCGUUGCAGCGGGCGCAGCAGCCGCAGCCGUCUGACGGUGAGACCUGCGCGCACCUGUUUGAGGCGCAGUCAACGCUGGGAAAGAUAAUGGGCCUCUACACCGUUCACGUGCAAGGUUCGCGCGGCAGAGCUUCGGCGUCGCCCGCCACGUCCUCCGGCGCAGGGCUUGGCGACACCACACCGCAGCUGUGGGGCCUCCUCACGGACGGAACGCACUGCUUCAUGGUGGUCGAGCAGCUUCUUUUUCAGCGACCAGUGCGGGAGAAGUGGGACCUGAAGGGCAGCCAGCGCAACCGCACGACAGAGCAGACGGCUGCGGUGCGCCUUGACGUCGACCUUGUUCAAGAGCGUCUACGGCUGGGCAACUUCUUCUUUUGCACGCCGGAGGCGAAGAGUCUAUUGAUGGACCACCUCUCCCGCGACACCGCGCUGCUGGCUGACAGCGGCAUCAUGGACUACUCGCUCAUGGUCUCUGUCGGCGACGGCAGCGUGUGCGUGGGCAUGAUCGACUUUUUGCACCCGUACUCAUCCGCUAAGGUGCUCGAGUCGAAGAUGAAGUCCAGCCUAGACACAAUGCUCGGCUACACCCGCCGUGACCCAACCAUCAUCGAUCCAGCAAGCUACGCGGCGCGGUUUAUGCUCUGGAUGGAUGGCUACUUCAACGGCGUCCCAGAUCGGCUGUUCCCGCUUACCAGUGUGCGGCAGCUGAAGGAAGACCAGGAAAGCGGUGUGGUCGAAAAGCGGCCCCACCUCCCACCUCUGUCCAGCGAGACAGCGAAGAGGUAGGCCAGCGGAGGGGAUGGGGCGAUUUAUGCGUCUCCAUAUAUGUGUGUCUGGGAGUGGGCACCCCUCCCCCACUACAACAACCACCAGCGAUGUACCUCCUCGCUGCUGCCUCCACCUUUGUUUUUCUCUGAUGUCUUGCUUGAAGCACCACAUGAAAGAGUAUGUCGGCGUCAUGGUCGCAGUGGGGGGAGGGACGCACAUACGUGUCCCGCUCUACCGCUGGCACGCGGUGAGUACCCCCCCCCACCCCCAACAGGUCCAUGAAAGUACGGAACAUCCUCUAUGCUGUUGCGCUUCGAACCCCUUCUUCGCUUCAUUCGCGCCUCACCACUCCCACCCUUUGGCUCCUCUUUCACGACUUCUUAUGUGUCGGCACCACCUCCUGCUAUCUGCUCCUUACGUAUGGUUUUUGGUUUCUUGCUAG